GCGGGUUCGAGCCCGUCAGUCCCG
rnacentral:tRNA from 22 species